rnacentral:rRNA from 1 species
AACGAACGCUGGCGGCAUGCCUAACACAUGCAAGUCGAACGAUUGCCCUCGGGGGAUAGUGGCGCACGGGUGCGUAACGCGGGGGAAGCUGCGCUUAGGUCCGGAAUAACAGCUGGAAACGGCUGCUAAUACCGGAUGAUAUCGCGAGAUCAAAGAUUUAUCGCCUGAGGAUGAGCCCGCGUUGCAUAAGGUAGUCGAUGGGGUGAGGGCCUACCAAGCCGACGAUCCAUAGCGGGUAUGUGAGGCUGAUCAGCCACACUGGGACUGAGCCACGGCCCAGACUCUUACGCGAGGCAGCAGUGGGGAAUAUUGCAAAACGGGGGCAGGCCUGAUCCAGCUAUGGCUCGUGAGUCAUGUAGGCCCUAGGGUUGUAAAGCUCUUUUACCCGGGAAGAUAAUGACGGUACCGGGAGAAUAAGCCCCGGCUAACUCCGUG